UUGGAGGGCAAGUCUGGUGCCAGCAGCCGCGGUAAUUCCAGCUCCAAUAGCGUAUAUUAAAGUUGUUGAGGUUAAAAAGCUCGUAGUUGAACCUUGGGCCUAGCCGGCCGGUCCGCCUCACCGCGUGCACUGGCUCGGCUGGGUCUUUCCUUCUGGAGAACCGCAUGCCCUUCACUGGGUGUGCCGGGGAACCAGGACUUUUACUCUGAACAAAUUAGAUCGCUUAAAGAAGGCCUAUGCUCGAAUACAUUAACAUGGAAUAAUAGAAUAGGACG
rnacentral:rRNA from 1 species